rnacentral:rRNA from 1 species
UACGUAGGUGGCAAGCGUUGUCCGGAAUUAUUGGGCGUAAAGCGCGCGCAGGUGGUUUCUUAAGUCUGAUGUGAAAGCCCACGGCUCAACCGUGGAGGGUCAUUGGAAACUGGGGAACUUGAGUGCAGGAGAGAAGAGUGGAAUUCCACGUGUAGCGGUGAAAUGCGUAGAGAUGUGGAGGAACACCAGUGGCGAAGGCGGCUGACUGGUCCGGUUCUGACGCUGAGGCGCGAAAGCGUGGGGAGCAAACAGG